rnacentral:rRNA from 1 species
AUUGAACGCUGGCGGCAUGCCUUACACAUGCAAGUCGAACGGCAGCAUGAUCUAGCUUGCUAGAUUGAUGGCGAGUGGCGAACGGGUGAGUAAUACAUCGGAACGUGCCCUGUAGUGGGGGAUAACUAGCCGAAAGAUUAGCUAAUACCGCAUACGACCUGAGGGUGAAAGUUGGGGACCGCAAGGCCUCAUGCUAUAGGAGCAGCCGAUGUCUGAUUAGCUAGUUGGUGAGGUAAAGGCUCACCAAGGCGACGAUCAGUAGCUGGUCUGAGAGGACGAUCAGCCACACUGGGACUGAGACACGGCCCAGACUCCUACGGGAGGCAGCAGUGGGGAAUUUUGGACAAUGGGGGCAACCCUGAUCCAGCAAUGCCGCGUGUGUGAAGAAGGCCUUCGGGUUGUAAAGCACUUUUGUCCGGAAAGAAAUCGCACUUACUAAUAUUAGGUGAGGAUGACGGUACCGGAAGAAUAAGGACCGGCUAACUACGUGCCAGCCGCCGCCGUAACAC